rnacentral:tRNA from 1 species
GCCGCCUUAGCUCGAAGUUUCAGGCAGAGCGGGGACCUUGUAAGUCUCAGGUUGCUGGUUCGAUUCCGGCAGGCGGCUCCA